rnacentral:ncRNA from 2 species
CCCACCAGACGUGGGGAUUUGUGCCGGCUUGCGGCCCACGGGAAAAACAAACCGCUAAAGAGGCGCUGCCCUCGUCGAA